rnacentral:rRNA from 1 species
GGAUCGCGGCGACGUGGGCGGUUCGCCGCCGAUGACGUCGCGAGAAGUCCACUGAACCUUAUCAUUUAGAGGAAGGAGAAGUCGUAACAAGGUUUCCGUAGGUGAACCUGCGGAAGGAUCAUUG